GCACCGCGCGGCCCGGAGCCCCGGGAAGGGCCGGCGGAGGCGGAGCCCCGGGCGCUGGGGGCGGGGCCCGCGGCGUGACCCGACCCGCCGGGUGUCUCCGACCGCAAACCGCGGGACCGCGGCGAGCGCCGCCCCUCCCGCCCGGGCCGCGGGCCGGAUCCCGGGGGAUCCUGCUUCGGGGGACGCUGCGGGGGACGCUGCGGCUCCCGCCCUCCCUGCCCGGGUCCCGACGCCGUAAGCCGCGGCCCCGACGGGCGUGAAGGGGAUUUUCAGCAGCGAAGAGGUGGCGGGAAACCUGCUGUCGUCGGAAGGGUGUUUUUGCGGACGCUCUCGUUUAACCGUCAGACAAGCCAAAGGUAGGUCCUGCGAACUCAUGCCCGGUUCCGACGAGCGACGUGAGGCUUGGAGGGGCUGAACGAUCCGCUGGAUGUCGCACCGCUGGUGGCCUGCUGCCGGACCCAGGCCGGGCUGUCACAGCGCGAACACCACCCUCAUAACCACGAACUUCCCCUCUCCGGGCCCCGCAUCUGGGAGACAGAAACUUGUGUAAGGAAAGUCACCGGACUCAGCGAGGCUGGGGGUUCUUAAUGGCUAACAGGGGCUUGUGUUUCAGAGAUGGUGUACAUUGAUUCCAUGGUUCACCUACAGAUCAGAACCUAGAGUUUAAGAAACACUUUGGUGGAGAAUGCAUGAAGAUGUGUCUAGAAAGAAGUUGCUGCAGCUGA